GACGAACGCUGGCGGCGUGCUUAACACAUGCAAGUCGAACGAAGUGGCGAACGGGUGAGUAACGCGUAAUCAACCUGCCCUUCAGAGGGGGACAACAGUUGGCAACGACUGCAAAUACCGCAUACUGAAGGAGGGGAUUGCGUCUGUGUAGCCAGUUGGAGGGGUAACGGCCCACCAAGGCGAUGAUCAGUAGCCGGGCUGAGAGGAGGAACGGCCAAAUUGGGACUGGGACACGGGCCAGACUCCUACGGGAGGCAGCAGUGGGGAAUGUUCCGCAAUGGACGAAAGUCUGACGGAGCAACGGCGCGGGAGUGAUGUCGGCCUUCGGGUUGUAAAGCUCUGUUAAUCGGGACGCGGUACCGGAAUAGAAAGCCACGGCUAACUACGUGCCAGCAGCCGCGGUAAUAC
rnacentral:rRNA from 1 species